rnacentral:rRNA from 1 species
UACGUAGGUGGCGAGCGUUGUCCGGAUUUACGGGGCGUAAAGAGCGCGCAGGCGGUCGUGCAAGUCGCGUGUGAAAGCCCCCGGCUCAACUGGGGAGGGUCACGCGAUACUGCUCGACUUGAAGGCAGGAGAGGGAAGUGGAAUUCCCGGUGUAGUGGUGAAAUGCGUAGAUAUCGGGAGGAACACCAGUGGCGAAGGCGACUUCCUGGCCUGUUCUUGACGCUGAGGCGCGAAAGCUAGGGUAGCAAACGGG